UGCAGAGAUGGAGCAAGGGAGGCUCUUGAGACUCAUAACCUCAAAAUCGGCAGGUUCAACUCCUGCCUCUGCAA
rnacentral:tRNA from 1 species